CUACUUGCUUCAGCAGUACAAAUACUGAAAUUGGAAUGAUACAGAGAUUAGCAUGGUCCCUGUGCAAGGAUGACACAGAUGCGUGAAGUGUUCCAUAUUUUU
ensembl:snRNA U6 U6 spliceosomal RNA